UUAGCUCUGGCCAGGGGCGCUGCAACGGGCUCAGCCUUCUAGGGGUGGCGGGUGAAGGCCUACACCUGCCCCAGGACGGCCAGGUCCACCAGCACCUGCAACAGACGGAGAACUGAAGGAGCAUCUUGAAGCUGUGGCUGUCUUGAAGGUGUCGCCGCUUGUCCUCACGAGCACCAUUUUGAUUCUCGUGCCCUGUGUGCAUGGGUGGCCAGCGUUGCUGGUAGGGCUCCUGCACGCUCAGAGUGGCCUUGGCCAGGAAGUCCAGGGUUUCCGCAGGCAGAGUGUAUGAACAAGAUGCCACAGACAUGUGAGAAAUGGAACUUUUGACAAGAUCUGUGAAAAGAAUGGUAUUUUAUUGUAUUAGGAUUCUCCAGAGGGACAGAACUGAUCGGAUAUAUGUGUAUAUGAAAAGGAGUUUAUUAGGGAGAAUUGGCUCACAUGAUCAUAAGGCA
rnacentral:lncRNA from 1 species